UACGUAGGGGGCAAGCGUUAUCCGGAUUUACUGGGUGUAAAGGGAGCGUAGACGGUGUGGUAAGUCAGGUGUGAAAGCCCGGGGCUCAACCCCGGGAUUGCACUUGAAACUAUCAUGCUAGAGUGCAGGAGAGGUAAGUGGAAUUCCUAGUGUAGCGGUGAAAUGCGUAGAUAUUAGGAGGAACACCAGUGGCGAAGGCGGCUUACUGGACUGUAACUGACGUUGAGGCUCGAAAGCGUGGGGAGCAAACAGG
rnacentral:rRNA from 1 species